UCCAGACUCCUACGGGAGGCAGCAGUGGGGAAUAUUGCACAAUGGGGGGAACCCUGAUGCAGCGACGCCGCGUGGGUGAAGGAGCGUUUCGGCGCGUAAAGCCCUAUCGGCAGGGGAGGAGGAGGACGGUACCUGACUAAGAAGCCCCGGCUAACUACGUGCCAGCAGCCGCGGUAAUACGUAGGGGGCAAGCGUUAUCCGGAUUUACUGGGUGUAAAGGGGGCGCAGGCGGCAGCGCAAGCCAGGAGUGAAAGCCCGGGGCCCAACCCCGGGACUGCUCUUGGAACUGCGCGGCUGGAGUGCAGGAGGGGCAGGCGGAAUUCCUGGUGUAGCGGUGAAAUGCGUAGAUAUCAGGAGGAACACCGGUGGCGAAGGCGGCCUGCUGGACUGCGACUGACGUUGAGGCCCGAAAGCGUGGGGAGCAAACAGGAUUAGAUACCCGCGUA
rnacentral:rRNA from 1 species